rnacentral:lncRNA from 10 species
GUAUCAUUGGGGGCUGUUAUACCAGGACACAUGGAGGUGAAGAACUAAAGCAAAAUCGUGUCUACUUCACAGUUUUGCCUAAGGCUGGGCUUAAUUCUUAAAAAGAUAAAACUCUGCAAAGACAAUGUCUAGCACUUAUAUCUCCAGUAACUCCUGUCAAGGUUUAUUGUUGCUUGUUCAUCAUUGCAGUCCUGACUACAAGUGUGAUUGCACUUUCUAUUGUUUUGUCAGAAUUUCCUGAAAAGAUACAAAGGCCCUUCUGACCAUUGGAUUGGCCUUAGAAGAGAAUCAUCCCAUCGCAUUUGGAAAUGGACAGACAACAUGGAAUAUAAUAACAUUUUUCACACAUUUACAAAACAAUUUGGGAGGAGGCUGGAAAUCAUCUUGACUGAAGACCACCAAUGGCAGCAGUUCAUUUGGGCUUGCUAUCAGAGGAAGUGGAGAAUGUGCCUUCCUGAAUGACAAUGGAGUCAACAGUGGCAGAAUCUACAUGAACAGAAAAUGGAUUUGUAGCAAGCCAAACAAUUAUGUCUACAGUUGCCAGUUAUGUCCCCACUGGGAUACUACCUAGUAGAGCUGUGAGAAGAGGGCCACCAUCCUCCAGACUCCAGAAUGGUGGAAUCAGCAGCAGCUUCCACCAUGCCCCUGGAAAAACUGCAAGUAACAGACCUGCACAUGUAUCCCCUACAUCUAAAAUAAAAGUUGGAAAAAAUGGAACUUUGAUGUUAAGAUGCACUGAUACAAAACUUAAAUUUUGGUCUCCUACAUUAAAACAAUAUGAGUCUCUUAAAAUAUUGAUUUG